GACGAACGCUGGCGGCGUGCCUAAUACAUGCAAGUAGAACGCUGAAGGAGGAGCUUGCUCUUCUGGAUGAGUUGCGAACGGGUGAGUAACGCGUAGGUAACCUGCCUGGUAGCGGGGGAUAACUAUUGGAAACGAUAGCUAAUACCGCAUAAGAGUAGAUGUUGCAUGGCAUUUGCUUAAAAGGUGCAAUUGCAUCACUACCAGAUGGACCUGCGUUGUAUUAGCUAGUUGGUGGGGUAACGGCUCACCAAGGCGACGAUACAUAGCCGACCUGAGAGGGUGAUCGGCCACACUGGGACUGAGACACGGCCCAGACUCCUACGGGAGGCAGCAGUAGGGAAUCUUCGGCAAUGGACGGAAGUCUGACCGAGCAACGCCGCGUGAGUGAAGAAGGUUUUCGGAUCGUAAAGCUCUGUUGUAAGAGAAGAACGAGUGUGAGAGUGGAAAGUUCACACUGUGACGGUAUCUUACCAGAAAGGGACGGCUAACUACGUG
rnacentral:rRNA from 1 species